rnacentral:rRNA from 1 species
GACGAACGCUGGCGGCGUGCCUAAUACAUGCAAGUCGAGCGGAUGGAAGGAAGCUUGCUUCCUAAAGUCAGCGGCGGACGGGUGAGUAACACGUGGGCAACCUGCCCCUAAGAUCGGGAUAACUUCGGGAAACCGGAGCUAAUACCGGAUAUGAUUAUGUCUCACAUGAGACAUAAUGGAAAGACGGUUUCGGCUGUCACUUAGGGAUGGGCCCGCGGCGCAUUAGCUAGUUGGUGAGGUAACGGCUCACCAAGGCGACGAUGCGUAGCCGACCUGAGAGGGUGAUCGGCCACACUGGGACUGAGACACGGUCCAGACCCCUACGGGAGGCAGCAGUAGGGAAUCUUCCGCAAUGGACGAAAGUCUGACGGAGCAACGCCGCGUGAGUGAAGAAGGUUUUCGGAUCGUAAAACUCUGUUGUUAGGGAAGAACAAGUACCAUAGUAACUGAUGGUACCUUGACGGUACCUAACCAGAAAGCCACGGCUAACUACGUGCCAGCCGCCGCAGUAACAC